UACAGAGGCCUCGAGCGUUGUUCGGAAUUACUGGGCGUAAAGGGAAUGUAGGUGGUGACGUAAGUCAGAUGUGAAAGCCCUGGGCUUAACCCGGGAAGUGCAUUUGAUACUGCGUUGCUUGAGUACGAGAGAGGAAAGCGGAAUUCCCAGUGUAGGAGUGAAAUCCGUAGAUAUUGGGAGGAAUACCGAUGGCGAAGGCAGCUUUCUGGCUCGUAACUGACACUGAGAUUCGAAAGCAUGGGUAGCAAACAGG
rnacentral:rRNA from 1 species